UCGACUCCUCUUCGUGCCUACUCCUCCCGAAAUCGCCGAUCACAGUCGAGAGCUCGACGGCCAUUGUAGCACUCAUUCGCGCCGGAGCCAGGUUGCAAGUCGAGUCUCCGAUCUCCUCUACACCUUAAUAGAGGUCGCGUCGGUAGAGUUUUCUCCAGAGUGCAUCCUCACGCAAGGGAUCUUCGGUCGGGUGAGGGGAUUUGAGCUCCGGAGUCGUCGGAGCUGAAUCGUCGGUUCCUGUGCUCGAUCUUGGUUGAGAGUUUGUGCUCCAAACUGCAGUCUCAUCUCCCCGAGCCCUAAAGCUGAGCUGAUUCCGUCGGGUUCCCUUCGCCACUUGUGGUGGUUUUUGUCAUCGAGUGUCUCACUGUAAAAGGCUCGGCCACAAACAACCAGCAACAGAUAUCACCGGCGGGCAUUCUCAGUAGCUGUUUCCAACCAUGAAUCAUUAGCUUUGUAGAUGCUCAGGUUGUGGAUAUGUGGCAGCAGUCAUCACCAGUGGGCUUGUGCUGGCAAAUUCACCCCCUGGUAGUGGGUCAACAGAGGUGAUCACGUCAUCCUUAUGGGUGAGUGAGUCGUCAGGCCGCGCCGCACACUCGCCACUUAUGGGUAAUGGUAGCUGGAGGAGAUGUCGCUUGUCUUGUCAUGCCGCACUCGGCCACACAUGGGUAGUGGUAGCUGGAGUUACGAGCAGCAGGGACCUCCUUCGCUUUGUAGCUAGAUAGCUACUCAACACCUGUCCACUCGGUCACUCGAGAGCAGUGACAGCCUUUGAGUGAUACAGUUGUCAUCGAUCCGGCCUCUCGACCAUACAAGGGUCAUGGUGCAGAGAGGUAGCAGAUAGUUGAUACUAGUACACUUAGAGGAGGAUCCUGACUGUCGGUCCCAUGUCACCAUCGAGGACGGAUUUCUGGUUUUGGUUAUCAUUUUGAUUGUAUCUUAAACUUGUGAACUUGGUAUUGUAAUAACUCAUCAUAGACUUGGUGUUAUCUUGUAUUUGGAUUUGUUUUGUCGAAGAGUCAAUCCGGAUCAGCCCGCGGUGAGUAGUUUUUGAUGUGUUGUGCUUGA